rnacentral:rRNA from 1 species
AGCGAACGCUGGCGGCGUGCCUAACACAUGCAAGUCGAACGUGGAAGGGAGCAAUCCCAAGUAAAGUGGCGUACGGGUGAGUAACACGUAGGUAAUCUACCCCAGAAUCUGGAAUAACCGGCCGAAAGGCUGGCUAAUACUGGAUAGAGCGACGGAAUCCGUAAUUGGGUUUUUCGGGAAAGGGAGCCUGUAAAAAGGCCUUCGUUCUGGGAUGAGCCUGCGUCCCAUCAGCUAGUUGGUGAGGUAAAAGCUUACCAAGGCAAUGACGGGUAGCUGGUCUGAGAGGACGAUAAGCCACACUGGAACUGAAACACGGUCCAGACUCCUACGGGAGGCAGCAGUGGGGAAUCUUGCGCAAUGGACGAAAGUCUGACGCAGCAACGCCGCGUGAGUGAAGAAGGCCUUCGGGUUGUAAAGCUCGGUCGAGUGGGACGAAAAUGCUUGGAGUUCACAGCUCCAGGAACUGACGGUACCACUAAAGGAAGCACCGGCUAACUCCGUG